rnacentral:rRNA from 1 species
CCUACGGGAGACAGCAGUGGGGGAUAUUGCACAAUGGGGGAAACCCUGAUGCAGCGACGCCGCGUGGGCGAAGAAGUAUUUCGGUAUGUAAAGCCCUAUCAGCAGGGAAGAAGAAAUGACGGUACCUGAGUAAGAAGCACCGGCUAAAUACGUGCCAGCAGCCGCGGUAAUACGUAUGGUGCAAGCGUUAUCCGGAUUUACUGUGGGUAAAGGGAGCGCAGGCGGCACGGCAAGCCUGAUGUGAAAGCCCGCGGCCCAACCGCGGGACUGCCUUGGAAACUACCGGGCUGGAGUGCCGGAGGGGUAGGCGGAAUUCCUAGUGUAGCGGUGAAAUGCGUAGAUAUUAGGAGGAACACCAGUGGCGAAGGCGGCCUACUGGACGGUGACUGACGCUGAGGCUCGAAAGCGUGGGGAGCAAACAGGAUUAGAUACCCUAGUAGUC